rnacentral:rRNA from 1 species
CCUACGGGUGGCAGCAGUAGGGAAUCUUCGUCAAUGGGCGCAAGCCUGAACGAGCAAUGCCGCGUGAACGAGGAAGGUCUUCGGAUCGUAAAGUUCUGUUGAAGGGGAAAAAGAGCGGAGAGAGGAAAUGGUCUCCGAUUGAUAUUAACCUUCGAGGAAGUCACGGCUAAAUACGUGCCAGCAGCCGCGGUAAUACGUAGGUGGCGAGCGUUAUCCGGAAUGAUUGGGCGUAAAGGGUGCGUAGGCGGCCUGCUAAGUCUGGAGUGAAAGGUACCGGCUCAACCGGUACAGGCUCUGGAAACGGGCGGGCUAGAGAGCAGGAGAGGGCGGUGGAACUCCAUGUGUAGCGGUAAAAUGCGUAUAUAUAUGGAAGAACACCAGUGGCGAAGGCGGCCGCCUGGCCUGUUACUGACGCUGAGGCACGAAAGCGUGGGGAGCAAAUAGGAUUAGAUACCCGGGUAGUC